UGCAAUUAUGUUUGGGAAUCUGGCGAUGGCGUAAAAUCCUUGUUUUAUUUCGGCUUGUUGGUGAUGUGUGUAUAGGAACUGGAUGUAAGUUGAGGCCAGAGAAAUUAUUGCAUCCAACUCUGCCGGCAUGAUUCUGCUUAGCAUUGGCUGCAAAAUGCCGUAUAUGUCUCCAAUCUCAGGCUGAAAUGUCCCGGUGGCCAAAAAUCCCAAGGUGGACAGGAGCUGGAUGUGCCCUGGGAUGGCUUUGGUGCAUUUUGUCUCUCGCUCCAACACGGGUUGUAAGUCAUAGCAUAAAUCCAUUAAAAUGUUUUUGGGGAAGCGGAAGCUACCUGCUGAGAAUCCACUCUGUGUUCUCACUGAACAGAUCAGCAUGGUCUUUAAAAAGGCGCUCCCUGCAGAGUCCUCCAAUAGCACAAAAUCUUUUGAGGUUGUUCUGUCACGGAUGAUUUUUAUAGCCUGUCACACCAAUCAUUCAAAAUGUCUGCUAAAUAACUAAUUGAUAAAUUUUGUAUAGAGGCAGCGGGGAACAUGUGUGAAGUUUGAGAUUGUUGAAUGCUGUGACUCCUUAAUGGGUUCUAUUUGUAGUUUCACUGUUCUACCACUAGAUUUUGUGUGUAUGCAUGGUCAGAGUUGUGCUUAGUUUUACGCACAUUCCUAAGCACAAGUACAGGUUGAUAAAUUACAUACUUUGCAUGGGAAUGUACGUAGGCACUCACUACGCACACAUCUAUGCGUAUGCAUGGUUGAUAAAUGAGGCCCCAGGAGAGGGAAGUGCGAGACCAGGAGGAGGGAGGGUCCAGAAGGGGGAAGAGAUGAUAAGGGGAGGGACCAGGAGGAGGGAGGAGGAAGGGGGGACCAUCAGAUUUAACAUUAAAUCACCUGUUAUAUGGGAACCAACAUCCAAAAAUUCUUCAAAAACAUCUUAAAAAAAUCUCAGCCCAUUUUAAUGUGAUGUAGCAACAAGUAAAUAACAUUUUUAGAAGGAUAAAAGGCAACACUAACAUCAAAAAAACUUUAAAAAACAAACAAACAAAAAAAAAAAACAGACUGACCAGGGUGAAGUGUUUCAUGACUGAAAAUCUGACACUCUUUAAGAAAACCAUGGAUGCUAAAUUGUCCUAUCUAAAGAGUGGCGGGACCACCUGGCUUUUUCUCAGCCCCCAGUCCAAAGCCAGCAUCUCUGAUGUAUGGGAAUCAUCAGAGUCCAUGUCAUGGGUAUCUUCCACAUCUGUGAAGACUUCAUGAACGACGACGCCGGUCUGUCGACAGCCAGGCUGAAGAAAGCCCUGGGAAGUGAAUUCUUCGCCAGGCCGGUGAAGUAGACGUUGUCUCGGUUGACCUGCGUGGAUUGACGGGAUUCCGAAGGAGGAUUCAUGUUCGAUAGAACCGGACCUGAUGUGAGUAUUUGGUACCUUUUAUGACACAGAUAACAAUAGAAAGAUUGUAGUGUCAUAGUCUGCCAGUGAGUGAGACUGGAGACAGGGAGAGGUCAACCCUUAAGUGACCUGGGGCCUCAUUUAUAAAGCUUGCUUACGCUCAAAACCUGGCUUGGAAGUGCUUACGCCACUUCUUACGCAAGAGUUGGGAUUUAUAAAAAAAACUAGUGUAGGAAUGUGCGCAACUUUAAGCAAACUCCACACCUUGCUUACGCACCUAGUGGAGACAAUUGGAGCAUGGUGAGAACAAUUGGUUAAUGGAAAGCGCAUGUAUAAAAAGCCAUACAGUGACAGUCGUGCGCAAUGCAGCACAAGUUUCAAGUUUCAAGUUUUAUUUGUCACAUGCCUAAAUGUACAGGUACAGUAGCAGUGAAAUGAAUCUGCGAUUGUGCCAAAAAACAGAAUAGUAGUAAGAAGAACAUCAAAUAAUCUAUAGAAAGAGAUAAAAUAAAAAUAGAAAUAAGAUAAAAAUAGAAAUAAGAUAAAUAUCCACUCCUAUAUACAUCCUAUGUACAAUAACCAUAAAAUAAAAAUAAAAUUAAAAUAAUUAGAAAUAUUGACUCCUAUGUACCAAGUAAACAAGGUAACAGAGGUAAACAGGUAAAGUGACCAGUAAGUUAUCUUCUGCAGUAAAGUCUGUUCAGAGGAUGUUGUGAAGUCAAUUAUGGGGUGUGUGUUAUGAGGGGGUCAGGAUCCGAGUGGCCUGGGGGAAGAAGUUCCCUUUCAACCUCUCAGUCCUGGCUCUGAUAGAGCGAAGCCUCUUACCCGAGGGCAGCCACUCAAACAGUCUGUGGAUGAGAUGGUGAGUGUUUGAUAAUCCGUCUUGCCCUGGACCUGCACCGCUGGGUGUAGAUGUCCUGGAGGCCGGGCAGUGCAGUACGGGUGAUGCGUUAAGCACAACGGAUGACUCGAUGCAGGGCCUUUCUGUCCUGAGAGCUGCAGCUGCUGUACCAGGCAGUGAUGCUCGCAGAAAGCACAGACCCCACUGUGGCGGUGUAGAAAGUUUGAAUUUGAAUUUACAAAUGUGCAGAAAAACAAUUUCCAUUUACAUGCAUUUGUUUUCAGAUUAAUAUGACUAAAUCUUUUUGGUUUACAAACUUUCACCACAUAAGCAGCGGUGGAUAACGGAGCAGUUUUUUUGGAACACAUGCAUGAGUGUCACAUGUGCUUGUGUUUUCUGAUCCUCACCUGUCGUCGCCACACUCCGACGGUGCAAAGCCACUUUUUUCUUUGCCUCCACCUUUAGAUCAGACCACUUCUUCUUGAUUUCGGCAAUGCUGUGCUCAGUGCCAGCCACACUUACCGCCACGGUGCAGACGACUGCAGACGGGAAGUAACCGGUAUAAAAAUAGAGUAGCACUUGGUCUGAUGGUAUAUCGGUGCCGUAGACGGUCUGACAACAUUCUGGUGUUGUAGACGGGAUUGAAUCAGCCUUGAUUCGUGUCAUGACAAAAAGUGUGAAUGAGUGAGUGAAUGCUGAGAAAUGAAUGCUAAGUCUGAUUUCUGAAGCAGCAACAGUGACCCGAAACCUACCGGUGUGAACAUAAAGUCACUGGCUUGUUGAAGUAGGGAAUCAGACCUCUGGAUUAAGGCCGUUGUCAAGGACAUCUAGUCUGAGGACAACAAACAGUUGACAUAAUGGGGAACAGUGGUUCUCAACCAUAGACUGAAUAUAAGAUGGACAGAGUCUGCCUCCUCGCUGGGUGAAGCCACUCCGAGAACAGCACCCUCUGAUGGUGGGCUGCAGUACAGAUCAUAAAUCCCGCCUCUGCCAGCAAAGCUUAUGGGACUGUGGACAAACUUUAGAAAUUUAUUACACAGAACAUACAUUUUUCUCCCCCCUGCUUGUGAUGUUGACAUGUAGUUAUUGUAAGACUGGUUUGUGCUUAAAUCCUUUUUUUUCUGUACAGCUCCAUUUUUAAAAGUUAUUAGGGGGUUCAUGUUUUCUAUGAUUGACACCUGGUACAGCCUAUGGGCGUUCAGGGAUUGCGUAGCUCUCCUGGGGGGAUACGCUGUUUGAGCCGAGCGUCAUCAAAGGGACUCUCGGCGACUGGGAGGCCGAAUGCGCACAACGCUACUGCACAGCUCUGGUUUCAAGGAAGUAGAGAAAAACCCGGAAUUACCUAGAGCUUUUUGGCUUCAAAUCCGUAUACAGGUGGAAGGCGGAACCACGUUGUCCAUCUUAUAUACAGUCUAUGUUCUCAACCAAAUACACUAAGUGGAGGUGUAAAGUAUAUGGAGUUACGACUCCCAGGUAGUGGGAAAUAUUUGAAGAAAUGGCAGAAAAAGUAUAAAUGGACAGGGAAAUUGAAGGUGACAGAAUGUAGAAAUCUCGCUAAAAUGUUGAGAGCAAAAGCAGAAACGUGUAAGGGAAAGAAAAAGAAAAAGAGUGAAGAGGCAGCAACAGCUGAGUUGUGGGCUAAAGAAGCACUACCCAGACAGGAAGGUAUUCAGAAGGGAAAGGCAAGUAGAACUGAUGUGUAUGCAGUAAGUCGAAAAGAGGAUGAUGAAGGUGUAAUGGGGAGAAGUCGAAAUGGAGGUGAUAGGCAAGAACUAGAGGAGGAAGUACAAGGAGUAGCACGGGGUCAUGUAAAUGAACCAAGGAGAAGAGGGAGACCAUCAAAAAUAGGUCAAGGAGAUAGGAAGAGGGGAGAUCCAGAGCCACCCCGCUGUAAAGAAACAGGGAAAUUGUACCCUGAUUUAACUAAGAUUUCUAAACCACAGACAAGUAGCGUAACCAGGCGACCACUAAAUGAGCAGUAUGAAUCGGACACAGAAAAUGACUCAGACUCAAAUUCCCUGAAACAAUACCCUGAUCAGCCACCACUAAAAUUAACAGCUCAAACAUAUCCAAUGAUACAAGUACCAAAUCCUGCUAGAGGAGGAGAUGGCCAACCUAAUGACCUGUUGGUGUACAGACCCUGGACAGCCACUGAAUGCCAGGGAGCUGUAGACAUGUUGCCCUCAUACAAAGAAGAUGUGGACAAAUGGUGCGCAGAUUUCAGACAGCUGGUGAAUUCGUAUCACUUAAAUGGAUACGAAACAGGCCAAGCGCUCCAAGCAGCGCUGAAACUAGAUUGGGGAAGAGUCAGAGGAAAUUUCACAGGACAUAAUGGAGCAAAUCCACCUGUGGUGCUGGAACAAGGUUCUGAAGUACUAACACAACAAAUAGACGGAGUGUUAUAGAGAAUGACACAGGUCUUUGCAAGACGAGCAGAUUACAGAAAAUCAGGUGCAGUAAAACAAAAAGAUGACGCGACUGUGGAUGAUUUUAAAGUCAGAUUUGAGAAAGAGUUCAGAGUCCUAAGCGGACUGCAAUAUGCAGAAGAUGAUAACGGUCCAUAUCAACAACAGCUAAAGAACACACUGUUGACUAACAUGCUACCUGGAGUAGCUCACUGGGUUUGUAAACAUUAUGUAGAUUUGAGUACAGCUUCAGCAACCCAAAUGAUGAACUGGGCACGACAUGCCAAGAAAGUAAUAAAAACAAAGAAAAAUGAAGGAAAAAAUAAAACGGCUGUGUUUUGGGUAGAAGAAGAAACAGGAACUUUCUACCAGGGAUCCUAUCAACCCAGAGGACGUGGGCACGGCCGAGGUCACUACUCCGGAUGGGGAGGGAGGGGUCCCAGUAGAUCUAGACAGUCAGAACCAGGAAAAGAUUAUCUUUGUUGGCGAUGCGGGAAACAGGGACAUUAUUCUCGAGACUGCUGAAUGAGAGAGCAGGAAGGUCCUGGGGGAACUGAGACUCCCCCACAUCAGGGGGCCCCCUCCGUCAGCACCCCCCUCAAAACGAACCUGUUCCUCAUGACUGAUACUCAGCAUGACUUCAAAAAGAGGAAGUGUGCAGAGAAUUUUUAGACUGUGCUUCCUCAUGUAAUGCCUUAGCACUAUUAGAAGAAAAAACAGAAGUAGAUCUGUGUCUAAAUGGCAGGGAAUUUCAGGGAAACUUGUGACUUUAUUUUCAUAAAUUAAUGACUUUAUUUGUGUAAAUUCACGACUUAAAUCUCAAAGUCUUUAAAAAAAAUUCUCAAUAUGGCCCUCAUACUCCUUCAUACAAAACAAUUAUUGGAUGAAUGGUAUGUAUCUACUAUUUUGUGUCUGUGCAAGGUCGCACAAUGAAAAAAUAAAUGCUGCGUUCCGCAGGUUUUCUUUAUUUCAGUUGUGACGCAAGCCUGAGGGCGGGGACAUUUGGCGACUCCACCAGGAAGUCCUCCGAAGGUCUCCAAACUUCCCCGCCCUCAGGCUUACGUCACGACUGACUAGAAAAAAAGCUGCGGAGCGCAGCAUUGAUUGUUUUAAUUGUGCAACCUUGCACAGACACAAAUAGUAGAUACAUACAAGCACAGAUCAUUCCCACAAAAUUCAUCCAAUGAUUGUUUUGUAUGAAGGAGUAUGAGGGCCAUAUUGAGAAUUUUCUUUAAAGACUUCGAGAUUUAAGUCGUGAAUUUAUGAGAAUAAAGUCAUUAAUUUAUGAGAAUAAAGUCGUAACCUGUUAUUUCCGAGGAGACUUGUUAAAAUUAGGGCCACAAAGCAUUUGAAGGAACUGUGCUUCUGUAUAGGUUUCACAAAAAAAGGAGAUACUUCAUCCUUUGGCACAUCAGCAUCACAUUGUCAUAAGUAUAAAGACUUAAAAAAAGAAUAUGAGAAAUAUGUCUUUUCCACAGGAAAAAACUGGUGGACUUGAAGGAAAUCGCUGCUUUUGUGGAGGCAGAAAUGGAUAUGCAGAGGAUAUAUCUGUCAAUGCAGCUGUAAAUAUCCGUGAAUGACAUUGAGCUUUAGUUUAUGAUAUGAAUCCAUAUGCCAUAAUAAGGUGUUGGUGUCUCUGCAGGUGUAGACUACCGCCGGUGUCAGAGACGUGGUGCUCGUCGGAGCUCAACUCCCUCUGGAUCACAAAUGUUGAUUAUCAUCAGUUGGAUUGUUUCUUCAGAAACCACAAAAUCUCUCUGAAUGACCCGCUGAUACAUCCACAGAUAACCCUGCAGAUGACCAGCUUCAGUCAUUUCCCCCUCCACAAAAGCAGCUUUAUGACUUUAUUUACUUCAUGACUUUAUUCUCCUAAAUUUACAACUUUAAUCUCUAAAUCUUAAAAGAAAAACACUCAAUGUUGUCCUAAUACUCUGCUGUAGUUUUGUCAGCUUUCUUAUUUCUAAUGUUUUUGAUAGUUGAAGCAGAGCGGAUCAGUUGUCUCUGAAUCUAUAAUGUUUGGUUUGCAGAUUUUAGUGAGUUCAGAGAUCAUGUGCUCAUACAGCCUGAACUGACUGUCUGCUGUGUUUGGAUUUCUUGUAUUUUCUUUGAAGACGCACUGCGUCUCCAAGCGAAUCCAGGCUCUCACCUGAAAUGCGCAGCUGUGCAGCGACACGCAAAGAAUUCUGGGAUAUCAACGGCACAAAAGCAUGCAUAAAUGCACGCUUGAAAAAUGCUAAGCGCGCUUAGCAUUUCUUAGCAUUUCAUGCCAAAUGGGACACCGUUCAAAUGCGCCAUUAUGUGCCGUUUGACGGUGCGGUCUCUGAAAUGGGACACAGCCUCAGUAUUACUCUCUGAAGCAGAGGAGAAGCUCUUAGAGACUCUGCCGAGCAGUCUGUGGACAACAGGUCCCACAGAUGUUGGGUUGAUAAAAACCAGCAAUCCCGUACAAAUCAAGCCGAGAACAGAAUGGAGGCUCAGAAUUAGGCAAUAUCCCCUAAAACCAGAUGCCAUUGAAGGUUUUAGACCAGUGAUAGCAGAUUUACUAAAAGUAGGGGGAACUCCGAGAAUGUCCUACACCAAUUUUCCCAGUCAGAAAAGCUAAUAGCACGGAAUGGAGAAUGGUGCAAGAUCAAAGAGCAGUAAAUGAUGCAAUACAAUCCAGGGCACCAUUAGUGCCAGAUCCUCAUACUCUUUUGAAUUCUCUAAAACCAGAGAAUAAAUAUUUCACUGUGAUAGAUCUUAGCAAUGCAUUCUUCUCCAUUCCUAUUCAUCCAGAUUCACAGUUUUGGUUCACCUUCACAUUUGAAGGUAAAGCCUAUACCUACACACGACUCCCGCAGGGAUUCUGUGAUAGCCCUACAAUUUUCUCUCAAGCCAUAACUAGCUGUUUAGCUGCAUUCAAAGCCCCACGGGGAAGUCAGAUACUUAUUUAUGUAGAUGACAUUUUGCUGGCCUCCCCCUCAAAAGAAGCAUGUGAGGAGGAUUCAGUGGCACUUCUUCAGUUCUUACAUAAAACAGGAAGCAAAGUAAAAAAGCAGAAGUUACAAUGGGUCAAGACAAAAUUUCAGUAUCUGGGGCACACUCUUAGUGAAAAGGGAAAGUCUGUCCAGAUAAAGAGGAAACAGGCCAUUCUACAAGCACCUAAACCUCAAGUAAAACAACAGAUGAUGGCUUUCUUGGGGUUGUGCAACUACUGGCAUGCAUGGAUUCCUUCUUAUGCUGAGAAGACACAGCCAUUAUUAGAUCUACAGUGUUAUUAAUGCCAGACUACAGUAAACCCUUUGUGCAAACCGUAGAUUGUAAAAACGGGUUUAUGACAUCUGUACUGCUACAGAAACAUGGAGGAAAGAUGAAACCUUUAGCUUUCUACUCAAAAAGAUUAGACCCAGUAGCGGCUUCACUUCCACCAUGUGUACAAUCUGUAUGUGCAGCUGCACUGGCUGUAGAAAGUUCUGCAGAUGUUGUAUUAUUCGACGAAACCACUCUGUUGGUUCCGCAUGCUGAAGAUAUGCUUUUAUUGCAGACAAAAAUGAAUUCUGUCCUGUACCGCGUUAUUGUCAUCUCAGCCACAUAUCACUGUAAAAAGAUGCACCACACUGAAUCCAGCCACACUCCUACCCACAGAAGACGAUGGGUACCCACAUGACUGUGUCUAGCAAGCUGAAGAGGUACACUUACCUAGACCAGACUUAAAAGACACAGCUUUAACAGAAGGAUUGACAUAUUAUGUGGACGGAUCCUGUUUUAAAACAUAUAAAGGACAGACAUGUACAGGAUAUGAAGUUGUAGAUGAUACAAGUGCCAUUGAAGCUAAAAAGUUACCAGGACAUUUCUCUGCACAAGCUACAGAACUCAUUGCACUCACCAGAGCUUGUAUAUUAGCAAAAGACAAAUCAUUAAGUGUGUAUACUGAUAGCCAAUAUGCUUUUUCAAGUACCGUAUUUUCCGCACUAUAAGGCGCACCGAAAAACCUCCGGUGCGCCUUAUAUAUGGACCAAUAUUGAGCCACAACAGGUCUCGCAACUACGGUAAGCAGCCGCCGACUUCAUUUUCCCCCGUAGAAGAAGAAGCGCGCUGUGCAUGCUGGGAUAUAUGACUGCGCGCGGCGUGCCGUUUCAUUUCCAUUUGUGUGUUUAUGUAAAGACCCCAAAAUGGCUCCUAUUAAGAGACACGCUUACGACGCAGAGUUUAAACUCAAGGCGAUCAGUCACGCAGUAGAACACGGGAAUAGAGCAGCAGCGAGAGAAUUUAACAUUAACGAAUCAUUCCCUUUAGCGCAGCCUCAUUUAAUGGAUGCAUAACGUAACCCCAGCCUCUACUGUAGCGUCUAUUCUAUGCGCCUUAUAAUGCGAUGCGCCUUAUAUAUGAACAAAGUUUUAAAAUAGGCCAUUCAUUGAAGGUGCACCUUAUAAUCCGGUGCGCCUUAUAGUGCGGAAAAUAUAUACAUAUAUAAUAUAUAUAUUCUAUUUUGCAAAACAUUGGGAGCGAAGAGGUAUGGAGACAACCACAGGCAGAAAUAUCACCCAUGCUGCACUGUUAAAAGAUCUAUUGUAAGCAGUUUCACUUCCCUUAAAAUUAGGUAUUUGUAAAUGUGCGGCCCACACGAAAGGUCAGGAUACGGUUUCUUAGGGGAACCGUAGAGCUGACAAAGCAGCCAAAGUGGCAGCACAGGGUCAGUAUGGUGAAAGUACAGUUUAUCUAGUGAAAAACAACAUGUAUAUAGACUCAGAGGUGUUACAAGACAUGCAGAAUAGUGCACCUCAGACAGAGAAAAAGGACUGGACUGAUAAUGGAGCUGUAAGAAAUAAUGAUACCAUUUAUGUUGUAAAUGAUAAACCAGUUCUACCAAGAAGUUUGUUUAAAACAGCAGCAAUUUUGAGCCAUGGGCCCUGCCAUGUCUCAACAGGAGGGAUGGUAGAAAUAAUAAACAAACACUUUACAACAUAUGGUUUCACAACUUACUCAAAAAAUUUUUGCAGAGCAUGUACUAUAUGUAUUAAGCAUAAUCCUGAGGGAAAUAUCAGACCUAAGAGGGAAAGAUUUCCUGCACCAGAGUAUCCAUUUCAAUGUGUACACAUGGAUUUUAUAGAACUUAACAGAAGCGGAGAAUAUAAAUACUGUUUAGUAUUAGUGGAUGCUUUUUCUAAAUGGGUUGAAAUAGUGCCAGCAAAAACUGCAGAUGCACUAACUGUAGCUAAAGCACUAUGCAAAACAAUAAUUCCACAACAUGGAAUUCCACAGACAUUAUACAGUGACAACGGACCACAUUUUGUAAAUAAAGUAAUUGAGACUGUGGCCCAGAACAUGCAGAUAAGACUGAAAAAUCAUUGUGCCUACCACCCUCAGAGUGCACGGUUAGUAGAACAAACAAAUGGUACUGUCAAGAAUAGACUAAAGAAGUGUAUGGAACACACAAACAGGCCGUGGCCAGACUGCUUAGAUCUUGUGAAACUUUACAUGAGAAUAACACCAACUGAUAAAGGAUUAACUCCUUUUGAAAUCCUUUAUGGAAGAUCUUUUCGACUGCCACUUGUAAAUAACUCUGUUGCUAUAUCACAUGAAGAGCAUACUUUAUGUGAUUAUAUGUCUAACAUGUUAAAAGAAAAAGAAAUUGUCAAAGCAAAAACACUGCCAGUCUCUGAUUUGUCAUUACAGGAGCAGAAAGUGACGGUUGGAGACUAGGUGCUCAUCAAAGUGAUAAAAAGAAAGACGUGGUCCAGCCCCCGGUGGGAAGGCCCCUAUCAAGUCCUACUGACAACUCCCACGGCUGUGAAAAUAGCAGAACGCCCUUCCUGGAUUCAUCUCAGCCACUGCAAAGUACAGCGCGUGCUUGACGGUUCAACUGAGUAGUGGGGAAGUCUGACUACAAAGGGGAUUCACCUUUUAGUGGUGUUUCGUCUCAAUGUCAGUGAAGCAAUCAAGGAUCCCUACUCAAUAGGAGUCUGAUAGACGUGGACAAUAUGGCAGACGGUGAGGAAGGAUCAAGACAACAAUCCAGGAGGCAGCGUCGGUGUACGGAGGUAUGCUGUGGAUUCAUGCUGGUAGCGCUGAUUCUUUUUGGACUCCUGGUAUGGUGGCUUCUACAGGAUGUUCCUCAACAACGAGAGAGAGAAGCGAGCACCAUGUUGAUGUAAGCCUGGAGACACACGUAACCAACAUGUGGUAUAGAUUGGCCAAUGCCACAGCAAAAGCAUACGACGAGACAGAUUGCUAAGUGUGUUCUUAUGUUCCACAUCAUUCAGACAGUAAUCCAUUCCUGACACUUAUUCCAAUGGGAGAACAUGAACUAGUUUGCCUGAUGAGUUUCCAAGGGCAUAUGCGACAAUGGGUUGGGAAAGCUAACGAGGCUCCAAGGUACUUUUUCAAGAAUACCAACUGUGGUAAAUUCCAAAUACCAAGCUUCGAGACAUGGUUACAUCCAUGUAACUUCUCAGGAAAAACCAACUCCACGUUGACCAGAGGAAUUGUCCCAGCUUGUAAUGACUUACAAACUGCAGCAUGCAUUGCUAGAACCUGCAAAACCGGACAUGACCGAUUCUUAGGAGGAACUACCAAUUGUGAAUGGAUAGACACCUCCUACAAUGCCAAAGAGAAGACGUGUGAAAUCCAAGGUAAAUGGUAUAACACGUACACAAAUGGCUGUCAGCCAGAACCGAAGACAGAGUUUAACAUCACCAGCUCUACAUCAAAGAAGGAACACUUCCUAAGUCUUAUGAUCGGUUCCUUUGUGGAGAUUCCGACAGCAGAGGAGAUGAUGAUUCGUGGAUCAAGCACACCCCCCUCCAUGGUUUGGCUCUGUGGACACAAAAUCUACAGGUUCCUUCUGGACAGAUGGUGUGGAUCCUGUACUCUGUGCAGACUGGCACCUGCAGCUUUUGUCAUACCGGCUAAGAACAUCACCGCCCACCACAGGAGCAGACUACAGAAACAAGAGGUUGAGGAGAAAAAAACCACCUCUCAUAUCUUACUUAAGAGGAACAAUCAUGACCAUCUUUCCACACUAUGGUGUGGCAUUCUUGGGACAUUGCAUGAACGUCCUCUACUGGGACUUGGAUAACCUUACCUCCAUGGUGUUGCAACUAGCAAAAACCUUAGCCAAUGACAAGGAGAAGGCUGCAAUGUGAGCCAUUAUAAUGCAGAAGUGCAUGGCCUUAGACUUACUAUUACCUGAACGAGGAGGGACUUGUGCUGUUGUCGGAGAUCACUGUUGCACUUACCUUAGAACUAUACUGCUAUAGUCCAUGGGUUACAAGAACUGAAGGACCAGUUGAGUACACAAGCCGACCUUGGGACAAUGAUUUUAAUCCCCUUCAGUGGUUCACAACUGGUCCUUGGUGGCAAAUGCUUUUGAAAAUAUUGACCCCAGUAAUUGUGAUUCUAUUACUGUUCUGUCUAUUUACUACUUGUGUGUUACUGUUGAUUCGAUCCAUGAUUAACAAGGCCGUUGCAGGUACAGUAUUGGAAGUAUAUGCCCACAUGCUAACAAUUUCACAGGAAUACAAAGAAUUAAUCCAAGACGAUGAGGACGAAGAUACCAUUGUUUAGACACUUGAGGAUGAGCCUACUGAAAUUGUGUUAAACGGAUGGUAACGCUUUGAUGUAUUUGUGAUCUCAAGAAUGAUAAACAGGAGGGAAAUGUUAGACUUUUGUGCCAUGCAUUGUGCAAGGGACAUGAAAUGCUUAUGUUCCUCAUUGUGUAAGAGUAACAAAACUAUUGCAAAGUUGACAGUUGCAGAAGUUUGCAGAAGUGAAUGACUAUGCAUAAUCAUGAAAUAAAAGAUGCCCUUGUGGAAGAACUGGUCAGAGAGGGCCUGACUGAGAACUCGAGCAGUUCUCCUCAGCCGUUCUUUCCUUGUGCAAGUGAAA